rnacentral:tRNA from 2 species
GGCCGCUUAGAUUAGUGGUUAUAUCGUAUGCUUUACACGCAUAAUGUCGCAGGUUCGAUCCCUGCAGUGGUCA